GUCUGUAUGAAGUUAUAUAGAGUCUAGCCUGCCCAAUGAAUUUUAUUUUAAAAGGCCGCAGUAAAUUGACUGUGCAAAGGUAGCAUAAUAACUAGUUUUUUAAUUGAAGGCUUGUAUGAAUGGUUGGACAAAGAAAAAUCUGUCUUUUACAUUAUAUUUGAAUUUUACAUUUAAGUGAAAAGGCUUAAAUAAAAUUAAGGGACGAUAAGACCCUAUAAAUCUUUACAUUGAAUUAAAAUUUUUUAUAAAUUUAUUAAAUUUUAUAAUGUUAUGUUGGGGCAACAAAAAUAUAAAAAAAAACUGUUAUAAUAAUAAUACAUUUAUUUAUGAAUAGAUAAAAGAUCCUUUAAAAAGAUUAAAAGUUUAAGUUACUUUAGGGAUAACAGCGUUAUUUUUUUUGAGAGUUCUCAUUAAAAAAAAAGUUUGCGACCUCGAUGUUGAAUUAAAAUUUCUCUAUGGAGCAGCAAUUAUAAGAGAGAGUCUGUUCGACUUUUAAUGUUUU
rnacentral:rRNA from 1 species